UACGGGGGGGGCAAGCGUUGUUCGGAAUUACUGGGCGUAAAGGGCUCGUAGGCGGCCCUCUCAGUCGGAUGUGAAAUCCCCAGGCUCAACUUGGGAACGGCAUCCGAUACUGGAGGGCUUGAAUUCGGGAGAGGGAUGCAGAAUUCCAGGUGUAGCGGUGAAAUGCGUAGAUAUCUGGAGGAAUACCGGUGGCGAAGGCGGCAUCCUGGACCAUAACUGACGCUGAGGCGCGAAAGCUAGGGGAGCAAACGGG
rnacentral:rRNA from 1 species